CUCAUACUUCCUCCGUCCGAAAAAACUUGUCUCAAGCUUGUCUCUCAAAUGGAUGUAUCUAGCACCAAGUUAAUGCUAGAUCUAGAUUCACCCAUUUGAGGGACAAGCUUUUUCAGACGGAGGGAGUAGUAG
rfam:Triticum aestivum genome assembly, contig: Triticum_aestivum_CS42_TGACv1_scaffold_499694_6BL